UCCUACGGGAGGCAGCAGUGGGGAAUUUUCCGCAAUGGGCGAAAGCCUGACGGAGCAAUACCGCGUGAGGGAAGACUGCCUAUGGGUUGUAAACCUCUUUUUUCAGGGAGGAAUAAAAUGACGUGUACCUGAAGAAUAAGCAUCGGCUAACUCCGUGCCAGCAGCCGCGGUAAGACGGAGGAUGCAAGUGUUAUCCGGAAUCACUGGGCGUAAAGCGUCUGUAGGUGGUUUAAUAAGUCAACUGUUAAAUCUUGAGGCUCAACUUCAAAAUCGCAGUCGAAACUAUUAGACUAGAGUAUAGUAGAGGUAAAGGGAAUUUCCAGUGGAGCGGUGAAAUGCGUAGAUAUUGGAAAGAACACCGACGGCGAAAGCACUUUACUGGGCUAUUACUAACACUCAGAGACGAAAGCUAGGGUAGCAAAUGGGAUUAGAUACCCCAGUAGUCCUAGCCGUAAACUAUGGAUACUAGAUGUUGAACAGAUCGACCUGUGCAGUAUCAAAGCUAACGCGUUAAGUAUCCCGCCUGGGAAGUAUGCUCGCAAGAGUGAAACUCAAAUGAAUUGACGG
rnacentral:rRNA from 1 species